rfam:Dipodomys ordii contig_37846, whole genome shotgun sequence.
GGUGGCUCAGUGGUAGAGCACUUGCCUUGCAUGUAUGAGGCCCUGGUUCGAUUCCCCAAGCACCA